rnacentral:rRNA from 1 species
GUCUACGGCCAUGCCACCCUGAACAUGCCCGAUCUUGGCCGAUCUUGGAAGCUAAGCAGGGUCGAGCCUGGUUAGUACUUGGAUGGGAGACCACCUAGCAAUGCGGGGUGCCACGGGCA